UGACUCGGAGAUUCCCGAAUAGGGCAACCUCUUAGUACCUUCUCUUAAAUUCAUAAUAGAGAAAGGAAGUAACCUAGCGAAUUGAAACAUCUUAGUAGCUAGAGGAAUAGAAAGCAAAAGCGAUUUCCAAAGUAGUGGUGAGCGAAAUGGAAACAGCCUAAACCAAUAAAAAUUUAUUGGGGUCGUGGGAAAAACUGAAAAAAG
rnacentral:rRNA from 1 species